rnacentral:rRNA from 1 species
ACUCCUACGGGAGGCAGCAGUGGGGAAUAUUGCACAAUGGGCGCAAGCCUGAUGCAGCCAUGCCGCGUGUAUGAAGAAGGCCUUCGGGUUGUAAAGUACUUUCAGCAGUGAGGAAGGUGGGUAUGUUAAUAGCAUAUCUUCAUUUGACGUUAGCUGCAGAAGAAGCACCGGCUAACUCCGUGCCAGCAGCCGCGGUAAUACGGAGGGUGCGAGCGUUAAUCGGAAUUACUGGGCGUAAAGCGCAUGCAGGUGGUUUGUUAAGUCAGAUGUGAAAGCCCGGGGCUCAACCUCGGAAUUGCA